AGCGAACGCUGGCGGCAGGCCUAACACAUGCAAGUCGAGCGCCCGUAGCAAUACGGGAGCGGCAGACGGGAGAGUAACACGUGGGAACGUACCCUUUGGUUCGGAACAACACAGGGAAACUUGUGCUAAUACCGGAUAAGCCCUUACGGGGAAAGAUUUAUCGCCAAAGGAUCGGCCCGCGUCUGAUUAGCUAGUUGGUGGGGUAACGGCUCACCAAGGCGACGAUCAGUAGCUGGUCUGAGAGGAUGAUCAGCCUCAUUGGGACUGAGACACGGCCCAAACUCCUACGGGAGGCAGCAGUGGGGAAUUUUGCGCAAUGGGCGAAAGCCUGACGCAGCAACGCCGCGUGUGUGAUGAAGGUCUUCGG
rnacentral:rRNA from 1 species